AGUGAACGCUGGCGGUAGGCCUAACACAUGCAAGUCGAACGGCAGCACAGUAAGAGCUUGCUCUUACGGGUGGCGAGUGGCGGACGGGUGAGGAAUACAUCGGAAUCUACUUUUUCGUGGGGGAUAACGUAGGGAAACUUACGCGAAUACCGCAUACGACCUACGGGUGAAAGCAGGGGAUCUUCGGACCUUGCGCGAUUGAAUGAGCCGAUGUCGGAUUAGCUAGUGGGCGGGGUAAAGGCCCACCAAGGCGAGGAACGGUAGCGGGUCUGAGAGGAUGAUCAGCCACACUGGAACUGAGCCACCGACCCUACUACUACGGGAGGCAGCAGUGGGGAAUAUUGGACAAUGGGCGCAAGCCUGAUCCAGCCAUCCCGCGUGGGUUAAGAAGGCCUUCCGGUUGUAAAGACCUUUUGUUGGGAAAGAAAAGCAGCAGGUUAAGACCCAGCUGUUCUGACGGUACCCAAAGAAUAAGCACCGGCUAACUUCGUG
rnacentral:rRNA from 1 species